rnacentral:rRNA from 1 species
AGCGAACGCUGGCGGCAGGCUUAACACAUGCAAGUCGAGCGGGCGUAGCAAUACGUCAGCGGCAGACGGGUGAGUAACACGUGGGAACGUACCUUUUGGUUCGGAACAACACAGGGAAACUUGUGCUAAUACCGAAUAAGCCCUUACGGGGAAAGAUUUAUCGCCGAAAGAUCGGCCCGCGUCUGAUUAGCUUGUUGGUGAGGUAACGGCUCACCAAGGCGACGAUCAGUAGCUGGUCGAGAGGAUGAUCAGCCACACUGGGACUGAGACACGGCCCAGACUCCUACGGGAGGCAGCAGUGGGGAAUAUUGGACAAUGGGGGCAACCCUGAUCCAGCCAUGCCGCGUGAGUGAUGAAGGCCCUAGGGUUGUAAAGCUCUUUUGUGCGGGAAGAUAAUGACGGUACCGCAAGAAUAAGCCCCGGCUAACUUCGUGCCAGCAGCCGCUGUAAU